rnacentral:misc_RNA from 1 species
UUUUUUUUUUUUUUUUUUAAUUGAGUUCUGCAUUGAUUUGCCUGUCCAAUUUUAGAUGCAACUGAUAGGCUUUUAUGGGAGCACAAUUCCUCCAGUGAAUAUGGGAAAACAAGAAUAUCAAAUUUUUUUACCAUGUAUACUUUUAGCAUCCACUUGAAAGCCCAAAGAAUAAGAUGAGCCAAGAUUUUUAUAAAUAUGCAAAUUGGCGGCUUCAGCAAUAUGCAUCUUCGCAAACAAAAUAUCUAUGAGUUCUAAAAUGUCAUUUUGGAAAUCAAAUAGGCCGAAUUAAAGAUCUUUUUGGAUUCAUAUUUUAUACCUAUCUUUCAAGUAGCAAAAGCUCACUCUCUUGCUUGAUUUUCUGGCUGUGACUUUUGCUCCUUACAAUAACAUUAGUAAACCAUCUUUCUUUAAUAUUCUUUAUUCAGGACUACUGU